UGCAAACAUGAGGGUCUCAAAGACUGUCAACAUGGCAAAGAGCUGAUCAUCUUGCAUUACAUAAGAAGAAACCAUCUUCAUAUAGCUUGCGGAAACCUGAAAAACCAUUAAUCCUUACCCCUCAAGACUUCCACGAGCAAUCCUCCCAGCCAAGGCGUCCAGAAACGUGGAUUUUCCAGCCCCGCUAGGCCCCAAGAUGGCCAUGAUUUCACCUCUAACUGCCUGGCCAGAAAGAUCAUUAAGAAGGUAAACUUCUUUGGUGAUUGUCGCGCCAUCCUUCUUCUGCUGCUUCGGCACACUAUAGGAAAGGUUACUAAACUCCAGUCCUUGGCCUGGAAUCAUUUUCCGGGGUUCAUGCGUGACAGCCUGGUUCUCAAUUUUCACCGACUUGUCCAUGACCAGCAGGGUUUCCAGGUUUCUGUUUCUCCCCGUCCUACUGACCUUCGCCAUUGGGCUGACGGCAAUCAAGCAGUUUCAGCCUCUUUGGGUUUUCUGAAUCCGGGUUGUCUUAGUUUAUAGAGCUAAGUUUUGAGCUGGGGGUGAUGAUAUAAAUUGAGGAGAGAUGAGGUGUUAAGUAUUGACAAGAGCUGCGACGGUUAAAAUCAUGAAAAGGAAGAAAUCUGUAGGGUUGUGGACAAAGGCAAAGGAGAAUGGACCAUCGGGCGGCAACACUAAUGUUGAAGCUUCAAGAAGCUUUUCAUGCUCUUAGUUGGUUUGCUUUGAGUUUUCCGCUUGGUAGUUUUGUUUCAUUCAGAGUUAGCAUAGGAACCUGUUUAUUUAUUUGUAUUAAUUCCUCUUACUAAUGGUUCAUCAGUUCAAUAAGAUGAAAGCCCAGAAAUGAGUGGAGAAUGGACAUAUGGUAGAAGUAAUUAGACUUAGACCCAUGGUCAUAUAUGGGGAAAAGGUGAGAAGUUGGAAGCUCUUAGCAAAAGUUGCCUAUAAAUUGAAGACAACAAGAAAGAUGUUGGCUGCUCAAAGAGGCAUAAUCUCAUUUUUAUUUAUCAUGCA